CAAUAGCGUAUAUUAAAGUUGUUGCAGUUAAAAAGCUCGUAGUCGGAUUUCGGCCACAGCUGUGCGGUCCGCUGAGUGCGGCUACUGCACGGUUGGGUCUCUCAUCUGGUCUGUCCCAUGCUACUCUUCAGUGAGUGGCAUGGGUAGCCGGAACGUUUACUUUGAGAAAAUCAGCGUGCUCAAAGCAGGCUUACUGCUCGAAUAGUAGUGCAUGGAAUGAUAGAAUAGGACCUUCGGCCCUAUUUGUUGGUUUUUGGACCGAGGUAAUGGUUAAUAGAGACAGACGGGGGCAUUCGUACUGCGGUGUUAGAGGUGAAAUUCGAAGAUCGCCGCAAGACGAACCACAGCGAAAGCAUUUGCCAAGGAUGUUUUCAUUGAC
rnacentral:rRNA from 1 species